AUUUGAUUGGUGGAGAUUGCGAUCCGGAAUUUUUCAAAAAUCAUCUCCAUCUCAGUUGGGCUCAGAUCGACGGUUUCAUCGCCAAGAAUUAUCGCACUGAAGAUGCCUAGCCUCACUGACGAGCAAAGAAAGUGACUUGCCUAUAGCCAAAACAAGAAUGAUGUAGGCAGCAGAAACAGAAUGGCAGCCAGGGUGGCAAGCUGUUUUCAGUGGAUAGUAAUAUACACACUUGCCCAAAAGAGUGAAGCCUCAGCUGAAUGGCAGGAAUCUUGCUGCAGGAUGUUUGCGUCAAGGAAACCAGAUAUUGCUAUGGGAGACAAGACGCAGAUGUAUUAUUCCCAGAACCAACCCAAGAAGUUCAGCGGCAGAGACUCAAGCAUCUGUCACGCAACUCCCGUCAUGUGACUAGGAUUUUCACUUUCCAACUACAGAAGCCUGAAGCACCUGAACUCUAACUUUAGCUAGCUAAUGAUGAUAGGCAACUUGCACUAACCUUGAUCACAUAACUUUUUGGGUGCCAAAGUAGCGCGCACUCCGGCUGUUGGCUCAAAUUAACAACAAAAAAGCAACUUAUCCAGCUCUUACGGAUCAGCCAGAAGGUUUUCGUGUGUCAGAUUUAUUUAUUUUUGAUUUCCGUAUGUCGUUCCCUGCAAUUAUCACGGCUAGCGCGUCGGCGUUGUUCGUUCGCCAGCGAUAUAAGCAGCUCGGAGUGCGUCACACUUCUGAUUCUUCCAGUAAGUUUCCUUGCUCUGAUUCUCCUCGUGAAUUUAUUUAAUGCUCCUCAUAAAUUUAUCUUGUUCUGACGUUCUCUGUAAAUUUACCUUGGUCUGUUGGUACGAGAAGCAUCAGAGAGCGUGGUAAAUUUACGAGAAGCAUCAGAGAGCGUUGUAAGUUUACGGAGAGCAUCAGAGAGAGUGGUAAAUUUACGGAUAGCAUCAGAGAGCAUGGUAAAUUUACGGAGAGCAUCAGAGAGAAUGGUAAUUUUACUGAGGACACCAAAGAGCGUGGUAACUUUACGGAGAGCAUCAUCAGAGAGUAUGGUAAAUUUACGGGAUAGCAUCAGAGAGCGUGGUAACUUUACGAAGGGCACAGAGAGAACGGUAACUUUACGGAGAGCAUCAGAGAGCAUGGUAAAUUAACGGGGAGCAUCGGAGAGUAGUUGUGGGUGCUUCCUUUGGGGUAGCGAGGAUAAAAUUUAUAUAAAUAGUAUGUAUACAAUAUGGUCUCUUGAAUAAAAGUUGAUAAUAGUA